rnacentral:rRNA from 1 species
UACGUAGGGGGCGAGCGUUGUCCGGAUUUAUUGGGCGUAAAGAGCGUGUAGGCGGCCAGGUAGGUCUGCUGUGAAAACUCGAGGCUCAACCUCGAGACGUCGGCGGAAACCAUCUGGCUAGAGUCCGGAAGAGGAGAGUGGAAUUCCUGGUGUAGCGGUGAAAUGCGCAGAUAUCAGGAAGAACACCUAUGGCGAAAGCAGCUCUCUGGGACGGUACUGACGCUGAGACGCGAAAGCGUGGGGAGCGAACAGG